rnacentral:ncRNA from 13 species
UAAUAUAUUAGAAACAGAGAAUUACAAUUUGUAAUAUGGGCACUUAGAAUAUAUAAAGUCAGCAGUGCAACCGGCUAAGAUCUAA